UCUUAUGAAUGUAUAUGCUGGUGUUUCCCAGGCACUUCAGCACAAUUGUUUUAUGUAGAGACGCAAAUGUUAGCGAGGCCAAUUGCCCUUUCGGGAAGAAUAUACUGGAUGCUGUUUACCAGGAGGUGUGUUCAGGAUGGACAGAGAUGGACAGAGAAUCAGGUCUUUCUGCCUUGCCAACUGGGGUUUCAUUGCAUGAUGCCCAGCUUUGCCAUGACAACUCUGAUUCUGUAACAAGCUCAUUUCUCUCCAGGUAUCUUCGACAACAUUCGAUCUAUUUUGUGGCUCUGCUUUGGUUCCUUUUGAACUUUUUGGAAAUGUUCAGAUGAAUAUAGAAUGGAGCCCAAACUGACUGGCCUUCAUCGCCUGAUGCAAAAGUGAAUGGGGUUGCCUUUAUAACUAUAGUGUUUCAUUAUUUUCUCCCAUUUCCUAAGCAUUAGAAUUUUUAAAAGUAGUGCCAUUUCUGGGUUUGCUAUUCUUUAAAUGCCACAUGAGAAGUUAAGGUACCUAUUCUGCAAGCCAAAAACAGUGUGCCAGAAUAUAGGUGUUUUCCAAAACAGGAAUCCACAAUAGCUGAAAGCUCUUUUGGUUUUCUUUUCAGAAAGUGCCACCUGACCCUUGAAUGCUUUGGGCAAACCUUGGCAAGAGUUAUUUCUUAAAUUAACUAAGCUGACUUCCAUCUGUUUCUCUGCUCUGUGACACGCUGGGUUCAUUUCUCUAUCCUGGUGGGCAUUUCAUUCCGAAGGCAUGCAAGUUUCUGUUUACUAAUUGAUUGUCCAUUUGUAGUAAUUAAACUGAGCUGACCUGCAAGAGAGAUUUUUGCAAGCUAAAGCUCCGAAAUACAGAAAGUCCUCAACUUACAACUGUUCAUUUAAUGGCUGAUGUUACAACAGCACUGGAAAAAGUGACUGAUGACUGUUUUUCACCCUUAUGACCAAUGCAGCACCCCUGUGUGAUCAAAAUUCAGAUGCUUGGCAACUGAUUCAUCUUACAACGCUUGCAAUAUCCUGGGUCAUCUUUUCUGACUUUCUGACUAGCAGAGUCAAUGGGGAGAAGAAGCCAGAUUCAUUUAACCCUGUUACUAAAUUAAUAAUGGCAAUGAUUCACUCAACAACUGUGCCAAGAAAGUUCAUAAAAUGGGGCAAUACUCACUUAACAACUUUCUUACUUAGUAAUAAAUGUUGGGCGCAAUUGUAGUCGUAAGUAGAGGAUUACCUGUAAUAGUUUGGAUGUUUCAGUCUCUCUAGUUCGGAGAUUUUAACAGUCUCUAUGGCCUUGGGAAGAUUGCAUCUCAGCUGUAGCCCCCAGUACUUCUGUGAAACUGGAAAACCGAGGCAGCAAAUAAAUUGCUCCAAUAUAUAAAGAAUUCUGUAGCAUGGAGCUGAAUGAGAGCACUGGGCUUACAUUUAAAGCAGGAGGCAUGUGAAUAUGAGAAAAGUGCUCGGAUUUGGCAUUAACGGUGUGGGGACCUUAUUAUAAGAAAACUGGCAUUUCUUUCUCUCUUAAUUAGUCUGUCUCCAUCCCUGAUUAUUGCUUUUCUUUUAGGACAUUGCUGUAGGAGUGAAAACGAAAGACACUUCCCUCCAACAAGUGACAAUGCUGUAGAAGGGUGUGCAUGUGUGACAGAUCAUCAAGGUGCUGGCAAUAAGGAACAAUUAAACAAACUCCCUUAUGCCUUUAGUGUUGUAGCAAAAAUUCCUAAUAUGUUACUUGUUAGAGGCAAAAAUUCUUACCGGCUCGAGGUUGACUCAAUUUUCCAUCCUUCCGAAGUAGGUAAAAUGAGGACCCAGACUGUUGGGGGCCAUAUGUUGGAGGCAAUAUGCUGACUCUGUAAACUGCUUAGAGAGGGCUGUAAAGCAGGGGUGAAAUCCAGCAGGUUCUGACAGGUUCUGGAGAAUCAGUAGUGGAAAUUUUGAGUAGUUCAGAGAACUGGCAAAUACCACCUCUGGCUGGUCCCAGAGUGGGGUGGGAAUGGAGAUUUUGCAAUAUCCUUCCCCCAGGAGUGGGGUGGGAAUGGAGAUUUGCAGUGUCCUACCCCUGGAGUGUGGUGUAAAUGGAGAUUUUGCAGUAUCCUUCCCCUGCCACGCCCAUCAAGCCACGCCCACCAAGCCCACCAAGCGACGCCCACAGAACCUGUAGUAAAAAAAAAUGAAUUUCACCACUGCUGUAAAGCACUGUGAAGCGACAUAUAAAUCUAAGUGCUAUUGCUAAAGCUGGCUGUUUGAUCUGUAAAACAACAAAGGGAAAGAGCCAAGGUAGCUUUUCUACUGUUAUUUCAUGAAUCAUUCCUUUAAAAAAAUGCUGCUUUAAAGAUACUUAUUCCCUUUUCUGGACAGGGUCAUAAAGCUGUCUUAACAUCUGUUCCAAAGUGAAACAGGCGCAUCUCCCGGUUUUGUUCAGAAAAUGCUAAGGAGAUGAACUCCAAGAGAUUGCAAAAUUUCUGAUGGAUUUUCUUAGUUUCUUGCUGAGGACUUCAGAAAAGUUUGGGAGAGUCUUUAUAUAAUGGGUUGUUUUUUUUGACCGCGCAGAACAGGAAAAACAACUUGAGCUUUAAAUUUUUCUAGGAGAAUACAGGAAGGCAGAAUCUGCCUGGUCUUGAAGGAUGUCUGUCAUCUACCAUUGGGACGGUUCCAAUCGGAGGCAAGGGUUUGAUUCUUUUUUCACUUCGUAUGGACGGAGGUGACCUCUUCCUUUUUCCAUAGCUGGCUGCCACUAAUAUUGAUUGCUGAAGAGGUGCCAGACAGAGUGCUGGGUAUAUCGUUUGGAUGGGCAAUGAUUUGAUUUUACGAUGCACCAGGAAAUACUUGGGCUAGAAAAUAAAAAUUAAAACAGUGACAAUGACUUCCAUAUGGUUGCCUUGAAAACUCAUGAAUAUGUCCCUGAAGUUAUCUGGGGUCAAAUUCUAGUUAGAAGGACUCUUACUCUUUAGUGUUUUAUGUAUACAUAGCUGCAACUGAAAAAAAUGAAUCACUGUGGCUGGCAAUUUAGAAUGCUGUGGUACUUUCCCCCUCAUGUUCAUAAUAGCACGUGGGAAUCUGUUCCAGAAUGUUUGCAAGAGUCAGGUGUUAGAGGUGUGGCUUUCUCAAGCACCCUGGAAAUUAUAGUGCUCUAAAGGAGGGGUGUCAAAUUCGUGUCAUCACAUGACGUAUCGUGACUUUUCUACCCUUCGCUAAACUGGGCAUGGGUGUGGCCGGCGUGUGAUGCAUGCGUUCCGCAGGCCGUGAGUUUGACACCCCUGCUUUAAAGUAUAUUCUAAAAUAUUCUUCACUUUCAGGAAACUGCAGCUGAAUUUCUGAGGCCUCUACUCCAACUGCUACUUAGGAAUAAAUUCUGGACUUAAUUAGCAGGAGAUACUCAUUUCCCCUCAUCAAGUUGGAGGAAGAUAGAGACCGACAUCACUUGGAUUUUCCAUGGGGCAGGACACAGAGGCAAAGCAAAAGAAGCAAUGGGAAUAUUUCAGGAUGCUGGUGGAACAGAGAAAAGGGCUGGAUCUGAACAAGGAAGUCAGAAGCAGAGCAAACAUAGUAUCCUGGGCUGGAUUCCUAGAUUGAGGCUGGCCAUGUAAAGAGCGAUGGGAAGAUGGACAGGAAGUAGGGGAGAAAGGAAGUGGGAAUCAGGGCUAAAAACCAAGAAUCAUCAAACUUUAAAUUCAUAAAGACAUGGCAACAAAUCAGUUAAACUGUUGGAGGCCUGGAUGAAGGAGGGCAAAAAUUAAGUUACAGGGGGUAUAAAUUAAAUUGCAUAUCCAUAUUUAGUAACUUUUUAAAUUCAGCUUAAAAGCUAUUGUCUAUUUAUGGUGUGUUGUGCUGAAGAAACUUAAGGCAAGUAUGAGCCAAGCAUCUUGGAAAACUCUGCUGAGAUUUGCUGGUGAGUCCAAGAGCAACCAAAUACAGAUACAGAAGAGGGAUACAAAGGAUUCAAAGAAAAAGUGGAAAUAGUAUCAGAAGUGGGGACAUUGGAAAAGAAUUGGAGAGCCAGGAAAAUAAGAGGGAAGAAUAUAACAUUAUCCACAGUAUAGAUGGGUGGUGUGGGGGAAGAGAGAGAGGUGUUUCUUUUCUUCUCUCAUGAAAUUAGAACUCAAGACCACCAUUAAAUCUUAAUAUAGGGAGAUACAGGACUUGAUGUAGUGAGCUCAUGACUCUGAACAACAUUUGUUUCUACCAGACUGUUGAUUGACCACAAGAAAUUCCUGUUCAUGCAAGGCAGAGUUAAAUUCAUGGUCAACUCUUGUGCAAUGGCAAGUUAUUAUAAGAAAUUCCUUAAGUUCAUGGAGGGUCAGGAUAUAAAUGGUGGCCGUGGUGGUUUUAGUCUUUGCCUAUCUCAUGUAUCACUGUUAUGAGAGGAGCAGCUCUAUAAAUCAUUUAAAUAAAUGAAUAAAUUGCUAGUAUUAUU